rnacentral:rRNA from 1 species
ACGAACGCUGGCGGCGUGCCUAAUACAUGCAAGUCGAACGAAACUUUCUUACACCGAAUGCUUGCAUUCACCGUAAGAAGUUGAGUGGCGGACGGGUGAGUAACACGUGGGUAACCUGCCUAAAAGAAGGGGAUAACACUUGGAAACAGGUGCUAAUACCGUAUAUCUCUAAGGAUCGCAUGAUCCUUAGAUGAAAGAUGGUUCUGCUAUCGCUUUUAGAUGGACCCGCGGCGUAUUAACUAGUUGGUGGGGUAACGGCCUACCAAGGUGAUGAUACGUAGCCGAACUGAGAGGUUGAUCGGCCACAUUGGGACUGAGACACGGCCCAAACUCCUACGGGAGGCAGCAGUAGGGAAUCUUCCACAAUGGACGCAAGUCUGAUGGAGCAACGCCGCGUGAGUGAAGAAGGUCUUCGGAUCGUAAAACUCUGUUGUUAGAGAAGAACACGAGUGAGAGUAACUGUUCAUUCGAUGACGGUAUCUAACCAGCAAGUCACGGCUAACUACGUGCCAGCAGCCGCGGUAAUACGUAGGUGGCAAGCGUUGUCCGGAUUUAUUGGGCGUAAAGGGAACGCAGGCGGUCUUUUAAGUCUGAUGUGAAAGCCUUCGGCUUAACCGGAGUAGUGCAUUGGAAACUGGAAGACUUGAGUGCAGAAGAGGAGAGUGGAACUCCAUGUGUAGCGGUGAAAUGCGUAGAUAUAUGGAAGAACACCAGUGGCGAAAGCGGCUCUCUGGUCUGUAACUGACGCUGAGGUUCGAAAGCGUGGGUAGCAAACAGGAUUAGAUACCCUGGUAGUCCACACGGUAAACGAUGAAUACUCGCUGUUUGCGAUAUACUGCAAGCGGCCAAGCGAAAGCGUUAAGUAUUCCACCUGGGGAGUACGUUCGCAAGAAUGAAACUCAAAGGAAUUGACGGGGACCCGCACAAACGGUGGAGCAUGUGGUUUAAUUCGAAGCAACGCGAAGAACCUUACCAAGUCUUGACAUCCCUUGACAGGCAUAGAAAUAUGUUUUCUCUUCGGAGCAAGGAGACAGGUGGUGCAUGGUUGUCGUCAGCUCGUGUCGUGAGAUGUUGGGUUAAGUCCCGCAACGAGCGCAACCCUUGUUGUCAGUUGCCAGCAUUAAGUUGGGCACUCUGGCGAGACUGCCGGUGACAAACCGGAGGAAGGUGGGGACGACGUCAAGUCAUCAUGCCCCUUAUGACCUGGGCUACACACGUGCUACAAUGGACGGUACAACGAGUCGCGAGACCGCGAGGUUUAGCUAAUCUCUUAAAGCCGUUCUCAGUUCGGAUUGUAGGCUGCAACUCGCCUACAUGAAGUCGGAAUCGCUAGUAAUCGCGAAUCAGCAUGUCGCGGUGAAUACGUUCCCGGGCCUUGUACACACCGCCCGUCACACCAUGAGAGUUUGUAACACCCAAAGCCGGUGGGGUAACCGCAAGGAGCCAGCCGUCUAAGGUGGGACAGAUGAUUGGGGUG